rnacentral:rRNA from 1 species
AACGAACGCUGGCGGCAUGCCUAACACAUGCAAGUCGAACGAGACCUUCGGGUAUAGUGGCGCACGGGAGCGUAACGCGUGGGAACCUGCCCUUAGGUUCGGAAUAACUCCCCGAAAGGGGUGCUAAUACCGGAUAAUGUCUUCGGACCAAAGAUUUAUCGCCUUUGGAUGGGCCCGCGUGGGAUUAGCUAGUUGGUAGGGUAAAAGCCUACCAAGGCGACGAUCCAUAGCUGGUCUGGGAGGAUGAUCCGCCACCCUGGGACUGGGACACGGCCCAGAAUCUUCCCGGAGGCAGCAGUUGGGAAUAUUGGACACUGGGCGAAAGCCUGCUCCCGCAAUGCCGCGUGAGUGUUGUAGGCCUUAGGGUUGUAAAGCUCUUUUACCCGGGAUGAUAAUGACAGUACCGGGAGAAUAAGCUCCGGCUAACUCCGUG